GGGCACCUUCGGGGGCCUAUAACUUCGCGGGGCUUUGCCCUGCAACGCACAACGGAAGACAGAAA
rnacentral:ncRNA from 1 species